rnacentral:lncRNA from 1 species
GGUGGAAGGUUUUGCCAAUGAUAAAAGGGAGUGAUACACCAAUAGCUGCUGCAGAUAUAAUUAGCAAGAACCCAAAGCCAUAACCAAAAGUCAUUCCAACCACCCACAUGGAAGGUGUAGACGGCAAGAGUAAGGUUGGGAAUAUUGCUACGGAGGCAAACACCGAAACAGUUAAUAUUGGAGUACUGAAAGUCUCUGUCUCCCAAUUUAUUAUCGGAAUAACCCCCUGUCAAGAACAAAUUAAAUCAUCCAUUAGAAUCACAUCAUUUUAAUCUAUGUUUCAUGUUAGAGACAAUAUAAAAAGUGCAAAACACAAUUAUUCUACACUAUCCAGCACAAAGGGCGGAAUUCAGCUAUUUCAUUAUCAAAAUCAAAACUUUACAAGGGAACACCAAUCCUCAAAUCCAAUAGCAG